rnacentral:rRNA from 1 species
CCUACGGGUGGCAGCAGUGAGGAAUAUUGGUCAAUGGACGAGAGUCUGAACCAGCCAAGUAGCGUGAAGGAUGACUGCCCUAUGGGUUGUAAACUUCUUUUAUAUGGGAAUAAAAUGUUCCACGUGUGGGAUUUUGUAUGUACCAUAUGAAUAAGGAUCGGCUAACUCCGUGCCAGCAGCCGCGGUAAUACGGAGGAUCCGAGCGUUAUCCGGAUUUAUUGGGUUUAAAGGGAGCGUAGGUGGAUGGUUAAGUCAGUUGUGAAAGUUUGCGGCUCAACCGUAAAAUUGCAGUUGAAACUGGCAGUCUUGAGUACAGUAGAGGUGGGCGGAAUGCGGGGUGUAGCGGUGAAAUGCUUAGAUAUCACGAAGAACUCCGAUUGCGAAGGCAGUUCACUGGACUGCAACUGACACUGAGGCUCGAAAGUGUGGGUAUCAAACAGGAUUAGAUACCCCAGUAGUC